rnacentral:lncRNA from 1 species
UGUCAGUGGCGGCCGCCGGCGGCCAAGAGUUCGCCGGGAGGUGCCGGUGAUCUCGUCGGCGUCUCCGGCGGUGUAUCCUGCCAGGCAGCCAUCAACAAAUUUCUAAGGUACACUGCUCCUCUUAUACAGCGAAGGAAAGAUCAUCACAAAGUUGACAGGUUUCUCUUCAAGGCCGUUGCUUGCCUGGGACGCUGCUGCGGGGUGUGUGUGGAAAUAAUGUACAUUCCUACAAUCUUUCUUAAUAUACUCUGCCCCCCAGCAGAUUCAACUUAA